AUGGGGUGCCUGUUCGACUGCUUCCGCGCGGCCGGCGGCGAGCCGCGCGCCGGCCGCGCCCGCGCCCAGCUCGUCUCCUCCUCCGUCGUCCCCAGCCCCAAGGUCGGCGAGAGGAGGGCGCCGCCGUCAAGGAACGCGCUGUCCGCCGUGUUCCUGCGCGAAGAUGAGGGAUCGCAGGCCACGAGCUCGGGGUCGGACCGGGACGCCGGGAGCAACAGGGUGGAUCCGGAGCUCAUGCACGAGGAGGCCACUUUCCUCAAAAAUGGCGGUGCACUGUCGGAAACUCCAAAUGAAAUCCUUAAAGAGCCUGAAAGCAUGGAUUCAGCUCUGCAGUAUGAAACACAUUCAGCGCUGCUAACUGCCUUGUCUGAAAACAUGAAUUCCAUGGAAGUGCUGAAGGCUGAUGAAUGCCAAACUCCUUCAGGGUCUCAUCAAAGCUCCUAUCUACCAGAUGCUUCAAGCUCUUCUAGGAAUGUUUGCGAUGCAUCAAACCAGCAUGAUACUGAACCUGUGAGCAAGAGCAUAGACUCUGACGGUGUGAAUAAUGAGCCUGUGGUCGACUGCAGGAUCAAGUUAACCACCUUGGAGUCAUGCUCUGCCACCAGUAAUGAUGAUAUCUAUCUGGAUGGAUCCAAGUCUUCACCCUUUUCAACUCCUUUGAAAGUGAAUGGUGGGAUACAUACUCCAGUUAACACUCAGGUACCUGACUCGGAAGAGUUGACAAACGAGAACUGUACUAGGUCUUGUUCGCAUAAUUCGCACGAAGGUCUGAAUUCCUCUCGGGAUCUCGAACAUUGUGGAGUGUACAGAGAAGAUCCCUGCCAGCCUGAUAUAUCUGAUGAGGAUCUCAAGGGUGCAAAGAAUAACAGUCCGGAUUUGGUUGAAACUUCAAUAUCUGAUGAAUGUUCCCUGUUCCAGAACUCUGAGGGUUCUGUAUCAUCUUAUAACAAGACAAGUGAUAACACAUCUUUUGUGGAGAAAUGCCAGGCCACUGAUGUAACAGUUCAUGCCAGCAGAAAUAAGGUGAUUACAACAAAUAGUGGUUCAGAUGUCGAAUUCCCAAGCUUGUCCCAGUGGUUGAAGCCUCCAAGUUCGAGUAAGGCGAUCAGAGAUGAAAGCUAUACAAGUGACACAUUUAAUUCUGCUAAGAGUUCUGAUGAGGAUAGGCCUAUCAUUGGAAUGGUCGCGGCUCACUGGAAAUCCGAAGAGCCAGAUAAUUUUACUCCUAAAUGGUGGGAUGGAAAUGGCAUUCCCAACUCAACAAAUAAGUACAAAGAAGAUCAGAAGGUUAGUUGGCAUGCGAUGUCAUUCGAGGAGAGGCUUGAAAAGGCUUUAUCUGAAGAGAAGCUGCUUUCUCAAAGGAAAUGCUCCACUGGAAACACAUCUCACUUUUCAGGUGUAGAAGGUGAGGAAAGUGAUACUGCUGCAUCUAACCAUCUACGUGUUGCUGCUUUUACAUGA
rnacentral:rRNA from 1 species